CCUACGGGAGGCAGCAGUGGGGAAUAUUGCACAAUGGGGGAAACCCUGAUGCAGCGACGCCGCGUGAGUGAAGAAGUAUCUCGGUAUGUAAAGCUCUAUCAGCAGGGAAGCAAAUGACGGUCCCUGACUAAGAAGCCCCGGCUAACUACGUGCCAGCAGCCUCGGUAAUACGUAGGGGGCAAGCGUUAUCCGGAUUUCCUGGGUGUAAAGGGGGGGCAGACGGCGCUGCAAGUCCGGAGUGAAAGCCCAGGGCUUAACCAUGGUACUGCUCUGGAAACUGUGGAGUUUGAGUGCGGGAGGGGCAGGCGGAAUGUCGAGUGUAGCGGUGAAAUGCGUAGAUAUUAGGAGGAACACCGGCGGCGAAGGCGGCCUGCUGGACCGUAACUGACGUUGAGGCUCGAAAGCGUGGGGAGCAAAUAGGAUUAGAUACCCCUGUAGUC
rnacentral:rRNA from 1 species